GUCUACGGCUGUACCACCCUAAACGCGCCCUAUCUCGUCCUCUCUCAAAGCUAAGCAGGGUCGGGCCUGGUUAGUACUUGGAUGGGCAGAAAGCAGGAUUAAUGACUUAAAUAGGGAGUUGGAGAAU
ensembl:rRNA 5S_rRNA 5S ribosomal RNA